CAGCAGCCGCGGUAAUACGUAGGGUGCGAGCGUUAAUCGGAAUUACUGGGCGUAAAGCGUGCGCAGGCGGUUGUGUAAGACAGGUGUGAAAUCCCCGGGCUUAACCUGGGAACUGCGCUUGUGACUGCACAGCUAGAGUAUGGCAGAGGGGGGUGGAAUGCCACGUGUAGCAGUGAAAUGCGUAGAGAUGUGGAGGAACACCGAUGGCGAAAGCACUCUGCUGGGCCGACACUGACACUGAGAGACGAAAGCUAGGGGAGCAAAUGGGAUUAGAUACCCCUGUAGUCCCUGUCUCUUAUAC
rnacentral:rRNA from 1 species